rnacentral:rRNA from 1 species
GCAAGUCGAACGGUGAACACGGAGCUUGCUCUGUGGGAUCAGUGGCGAACGGGUGAGUAACACGUGAGCAACCUGCCCCUGACUCUGGGAUAAGCGCUGGAAACGGCGUCUAAUACUGGAUACGAGUAGCGACCGCAUGGUCAGUUACUGGAAAGAUUUAUUGGUUGGGGAUGGGCUCGCGGCCUAUCAGCUUGUUGGUGAGGUAAUGGCUCACCAAGGCGUCGACGGGUAGCCGGCCUGAGAGGGUGACCGGCCACACUGGGACUGAGACACGGCCCAGACUCCUACGGGAGGCAGCAGUGGGGAAUAUUGCACAAUGGGCGCAAGCCUGAUGCAGCAACGCCGCGUGAGGGAUGACGGCCUUCGGGUUGUAAACCUCUUUUAGCAGGGAAGAAGCGAAAGUGACGGUACCUGCAGAAAAAGCGCCGGCUAACUACGUGCCAGCAGCCGCGGUAAUACGUAGGGCGCAAGCGUUAUCCGGAAUUAUUGGGCGUAAAGAGCUCGUAGGCGGUUUGUCGCGUCUGCUGUGAAAUCCGGAGGCUCAACCUCCGGCCUGCAGUGGGUACGGGCAGACUAGAGUGCGGUAGGGGAGAUUGGAAUUCCUGGUGUAGCGGUGGAAUGCGCAGAUAUCAGGAGGAACACCGAUGGCGAAGGCAGAUCUCUGGGCCGUAACUGACGCUGAGGAGCGAAAGGGUGGGGAGCAAACAGGCUUAGAUACCCUGGUAGUCCACCCCGUAAACGUUGGGAACUAGUUGUGGGGUCCAUUCCACGGAUUCCGUGACGCAGCUAACGCAUUAAGUUCCCCGCCUGGGGAGUACGGCCGCAAGGCUAAAACUCAAAGGAAUUGACGGGGACCCGCACAAGCGGCGGAGCAUGCGGAUUAAUUCGAUGCAACGCGAAGAACCUUACCAAGGCUUGACAUAUACGAGAACGGGCCAGAAAUGGUCAACUCUUUGG